rnacentral:rRNA from 1 species
GACGAAAGCUGGCGGCGUGCCUAAUACAUGCAAGUAGAACGCAGUUGCGACAGGGUGCGUAACGCGUAGGUAACUUCCUGGUAGCGGGGGAUAACUAUUGGGAACUAUAGCUACUCCCGCGUACUACCAGAUUGCCCUGCGUUGUAUUAGCUAGUUGGUGGGGUAACGGCUUAACAAGGCGACGAUACAUAGCAGACCUGAGAGGGUGAUCGGCCACACUGGGACUGAGACACGGCCCAGACUCCUACGGGAGGCAGCAGUAGGGAAGCUUCGGCAAUGGACGGAAGUCUGACCGAGCAACGCCGCGUGAGUGAAGAAGGUUUUCGGAUCGUAAAGCUCUGUUGUAAGAGAAGCGGUAGCUUACCAGAAAGGGACGGCUAACUACGUGCCAGCAGCCGCGGUAAUUC